UACGGGGGGGGCAAGCGUUGUUCGGAAUUACUGGGCGUAAAGCGCUCGUAGGCGGCCAACUAAGUCAUACGUGAAAUCCCUCGGCUUAACCGGGGAACUGCGUCUGAUACUGGAUGGCUUGAGUUUGGGAGAGGGAUGCGGAAUUCCAGGUGUAGCGGUGAAAUGCGUAGAUAUCUGGAGGAACACCGGUGGCGAAGGCGGCAUCCUGGACCAAUACUGACGCUGAGGAGCGAAAGCCAGGGGAGCAAACGGG
rnacentral:rRNA from 1 species